UACGUAGGGGGCGAGCGUUGUCCGGAUUUAUUGGGCGUAAAGAGCUCGUAGGCGGUUUGUUGCGUCGGCUGUGAAAUCCCGAGGCUCAACCUCGGGUCUGCAGUCGAUACGGGCAAACUAGAGUAUUGCAGGGGAGACUGGAAUUCCUGGUGUAGCGGUGAAAUGCGCAGAUAUCAGGAGGAACACCGGUGGCGAAGGCGGGUCUCUGGGCAAUAACUGACGCUGAGGAGCGAAAGCGUGGGGAGCGAACAGG
rnacentral:rRNA from 1 species